AUCAACACAUUUUUGUUUCAAUUGCUCAGCAUAGAGCAAGCAGGUGUCAUACUCGCCUCUCACCACUGCGGCUGAUAAAUUUCUGUAAUCCGAAAGGGCAUCCCCUCUAAGCCCCUCUAUAAAAUAUUGUAACCCAGUGGGAGUCAUUGAUGCAGCAGUAGAUACGCUUGCAGAUACAGCCUCAAAUAUCAAGAUGGAGUGAUGAGAAACAAUAGCGCGGCCACUCUCGCUACAAAGCACAGGGUGCUUAAUGUUCCUGCGGUCACAAACAAGCUUAACAGCUUGCACAACAGCCAGAGAAUACUCUUCGAGUCCAUAAGCCACAGAUAGAUCCGAACUACCAGAUUUGGAUCCGUCGUAGUCGAUGCCCAACCCACCUCCAAUGUCGAGGACUUUCAUGUGGGCACCGAGACGGACUAAUUCGC
rnacentral:misc_RNA from 1 species